AUUGAACGCUGGCGGCAGGCCUAACACAUGCAAGUCGAGCGGCAGCGACUUAACUGAACCUUCGGGGAACGUUAAGGGCGGCGAGCGGCGGACGGGUGAGUAAUGCCUGGGAAUAUGCCCUGAUGUGGGGGAUAACUAUUGGAAACGAUAGCUAAUACCGCAUAAUCUCUUCGGAGCAAAGAGGGGGACCUUCGGGCCUCUCGCGUCAGGAUUAGCCCAGGUGGGAUUAGCUUGUUGGUGAGGUAAUGGCUCACCAAGGCAACGAUCCCUAGCUGGUCUGAGAGGAUGAUCAGCCACACUGGAACUGAGACACGGUCCAGACUCCUACGGGAGGCAGCAGUGGGGAAUAUUGCACAAUGGGGGAAACCCUGAUGCAGCCAUGCCGCGUGUGUGAAGAAGGCCUUCGGGUUGUAAAGCACUUUCAGUAGGGAGGAAGGUAGUGUAGUUAACACCUGCAUUAUUUGACGUUACCUACAGAAGAAGCACCGGCUAACUCCGUGCCAGCAGCCGCGGUAAUACGGAGGGUGCGAGCGUUAAUCGGAAUUACUGGGCGUAAAGCGCAUGCAGGCGGCCUGUUAAGUCAGAUGUGAAAGCCCGGGGCUUAACCUCGGAAUUGCAUUUGAAACUGGCAGGCUAGAGUCUUGUAGAGGGGGGUAGAAUUUCAGGUGUAGCGGUGAAAUGCGUAGAGAUCUGAAGGAAUACCAGUGGCGAAGCGGCCCCCUGGACAAAGACUGACGCUCAGAUGCGAAAGCGUGGGGAGCAAACAG
rnacentral:rRNA from 1 species